AAGCACAGAUGAGCUGUGCAUGACUGAACCCCCUUCACAGCCAAGAAGAUCAGGAGUGAAGAUGCCGUGCAGUGGAGUGAGUUGGACACAAAUUCAAGACUGACAAGAUCCUGGAAGAUUUUUCUGGUCACUGGCUCACACAUCAAGAUUGACCCCGGAUGGUCUUCAGCAGAUGUGGAAUGAAGAAAUUUCACUUUUCUGUGUGAGAUGAAAAGGAAGAGCAAGGCAGUUCAACAUCAACCCUCUGUGUUUUUAGAUUCUGAGAUUUCAUCUUCAGGUCUGUUGACUGCAUUUGUUUUUAACAUAUUUCAGCCUUUUAUUUUUUAUCUUUUAUAGU